AUCCCUUUGUGGUUCGUAAGCAUGACCACUGGGUGUUCACGCCGCGGUGUGAGAUGUGCGUCCCUGCAACCUUGUUACGGUGUUGGCAUGUUGCCUGUCUGAUG